rnacentral:rRNA from 1 species
AGCGAACGCUGGCGGUAGGCCUAACACAUGCAAGUCGAACGGCAGCACAGUAAGAGCUUGCUCUUACGGGUGGCGAGUGGCUUACGGGUGAGGAAUACAUCGGAAUCUACUCUUUCGUGGGGGGUAACGUAGGUAAACUUACGCUAAUACCGUAUACCACCUACGGGUGUAAUCAGUGGAUCUUCUGUCCUUGCUCGAUUUAAUUCGCCGAUGUCGGAUUAGCUGGUUGGGGGGUUAAUGGCCCACCAAGGCGACGAUCCGUAGCUGGUCGGAGAGGAGGAUAGCCAACACUGGAACGGGAACACGGUCAAGACUCCUACGGGAGGAAGCAGAGGGGAAUAUUGGACAAUGGGGGCAAGCCUGAACCAGACAGACCGCGUAGGUGAAAAAGGCCUUCGGGUUGUAAAGCCCGUUUGUUGGGAAAGAAAAGCAGCAGGAUAAAAAGCCGAUGUUGUGACGGUACCUAACGAAUAAGCACCGGCUAACUUCGUG